AGAGUUUGAUCAUGGCUCAGAACGAACGCUGGCGGCAUGCCUAACACAUGCAAGUCGAACGGGAUCCGGACUUCGGUCCGGUGAGAGUGGCGGACGGGUGAGUAACACGUGGGAACCUGCCUUUUGGUUCGGGAUAACCGCGGGAAACUGCGGCUAAUACCGGAUGCUCCCGAGAGGGAAAAGAUUUAUCGCCAGAAGAGGGGCCCGCGUCCGAUUAGGUAGUUGGUGGGGUAAUGGCCUACCAAGCCGACGAUCGGUAGCUGGUCUGAGAGGAUGAUCAGCCACACUGGGACUGAGAUACGGCCCAGACUCCUACGGGAGGCAGCAGUGGGGAAUAUUGGACAAUGGGGGCAACCCUGAUCCAGCAAUGCCGCGUGAGUGAUGAAGGCCUUAGGGUUGUAAAGCUCUUUUGCCAGGGAAGAUGAUGACUGUACCUGGAGAAUAAGCCCCGGCUAACUUCGUG
rnacentral:rRNA from 1 species